AAAUGGUUAUUUUAAAGUUCGGUCUGACCGAUUUGUCCUACAACUUAUGGUCAGGCGUGGGAUUGACUCAAGGACAUGGAUAUUUGGAGGAGGCGUUAGAGGAGUGUUCCGAGCAAUGGAAAGAUUAAGCCUAGUACUGUGAGUGGACAUUUUGGUUUUUAAUUAAUAUUCAUGCAUGAUUUUAUAAGUUGCCCAUUAUAUUUUCCAAGCUUAAAUUGAAAUUUCGGCUUACGAAAUGGUCUUUGAAUUUAUUUGAUUGUUGAUGCAUUGAUUAAUCUUUGCAAUGAUUUAUGGAAUUUAUUUGAGAUUGACAUAUUGGUUAUGUUUUCGAUAAUGAACUUAUGGAUUUGAGCUUGGGUUAGAGAUUUGGUAUUUGAGUUUUGAUAUUCUUUAUGAAUUCCGGAUUUGAGAUUAUAUCCAGAUUUGUAUAUUGCCUGGUUUUCGAAAGAUGAUAAUUAUUUAAGUUAAUUAUUUCAUUGAGCAUUUUAACGUGUGAGACAUGUCGUUGAAUUUAAUUAAUUUCUUUUCUCUUUGAAUUCUUUGAGUACGGUUGGGAAUCGUACUUAUGCUUUUAGUUAUGAGUUUCGGGGAAACUCACAUGGAUUUAUGUUUCUUUAUUUAUGCCAUACUUGUCGGAUAAUAUAUUACUAAUGCUAGCAUGUUGUUCCGCCUUUCGAGGCGAUGUGGCUUCCACAUUUUAAGUGGGGUUACUCAAGCCCUUUCCGCCUUCAGGUAAUGUGAUGUAGUCGACGACAUCACGCAAGCCCUGCAUCCUCUCUGUUAUCAUAACGUGAAGGUGUAGGGAGUAUGGGAGUACUUUUGCCUGGGAGGCACCCGAGCCUGGGAGGCUCACUUGUAUGGCUAUAUCUGCUACUUAUUUAUUGUUGUUGUCUUGACUAGUGGGGCUAGUCCAUCUUUUUGAUAUUCCUUUUUAUGAAAGUCUUUAUGAAUCUUUGUCGAUAUUUUGACUAGCGAGGCUAGUCCGUAUUCUCGGGAUUUUCUUUUGAAGGCGUUAUCAACACUUGCAUGCAACGGAUUUAUUGCUUAUUGGAAAGUGGGAAAGUAUUUAAGAUUUGGUUUUUGUUAUCCUAUGUCUUUUUAUUUAUUUAUUUUCGUCCACUCACUCUAACGUGUUUUUAAAUUACUUCCUCCUGGGCCCUUUGGUUUCAAAUGCUCAGUUUGCAGGCUAAGUUUAUUUGAGGUCGAGCGUACAUGGAAUCGAGGCAUAGUCAGAGGCUGCUUCCGCUUAUUCUUUAUUCAUUGUUUUUCUUUCAUUUUUAGAUAUGCUCUGAUAAUCAAGUUAGUAUACUUCUUGAUUAUUAUUUGAUAUUUUGGGAGAUGUUGUGAUAAACUUGGGGAGCAGGAAGGCUCCAAGAGUUGAGGAUGGAUGAUUUAUAAUAGAAGUGUUUAUCUGGAAUUUUUCAGGUAAAGGUUGUCCAUUUUUCAAGGUGGAUUAUGCUGAAUUUUCGGUAAAUUUUCUUUGAAGGUGGACCCUGCAGGAUUUAUUUCGGGUUUCAGGGUGAAAUUCGGGGUGGGUCUUAUCAGAUCAUGUAUUUUUAGACUGUGUACUUUUAUAUUAACUUUUAAAAUUUAUUUAUUUUAAUUUGAAGCUUUUAUUUUUCAAAUUUACAAAGUUUAUUUGUGAUGAAGGAUUAAUGGUAGAGACAAAGAGAUAGCAAGAGAAUCAUCAUCUUAUUCAUUGAUAGGAGCCCUUUAUAUAGGGAAUUACACAAUACCAAUAUGGUAAGGAUAUGAAUACAUAGAUCUAGUCUAACUACAUAUCCUAUUGGCAUAAAGCCAAGGCACACAGUAGAGAAUAUCCUAGAACACUCCCCCUUGUGCCGCGCGCUGAUAUGCCGAUGGUGCUGAUCUGUUGCCUCGUCAAAAACCUCGUCAAGUCACAAAAACCCUGUGGGAGAAAAACUGAACCUUGAUCGUAGGAGAAAAAGAGUACAACGCACCCUUCACAUUUGAUAGUGACAUGUAUGUAUGUGCUAGAUUCCCCCUGAAGUUCGCACCUCCCCUUGAUCUUUACAUCAAUCAUAGGGCUCUUCCUGAUUCUUACUAAUCACGGAAGUUUCAAAAACUUAGCAUAUCAAUGCUCUUUAACAUGUCUUCAAAUGUGGCAUUAGACGAUGAUUAACUAAAUCAUGCCGUAUUGUCCUCAAAUGAUCUUUUACACUUAGAUCUUGAGGAGAAGGUCGUUUGUGAACUCAAAACAUAAGUUCGUGCAGGAAAUCAGGUUUCCGCGCAGCAUGACCUUUAAUUACUAGAACAGUCGUAACUUCCUCUAGGAAAUACAUAUGAACGAACCGUAAACGGUUUUGGAAACUAGACUCAUUUAGCUUUCCAACCGUAUAUUACACACAUUCUGGUUCAUCAGGAGCUGUUCACAAAAUCCCGUCGAAGUUGACUGUUUUGCCAAAAUCAGAUUCUCGGACAGAUUCGUCCUACUUUACGAAAACGGCCAUAACUCACUCAGUAUGAUAGAUAUGAUCAAAUGGUUGGUGUCUCUGGAAAGUAGACACAUAGACCUUUCCAAUGGUACCAAUUUUACCAUAUUCCAGUGAGUGAGGUUUCCUGUAAGUCCCGUGGAGCUUGACCUACGAAACUUAGCAGAUUCUGAUUUCGCUAUUGAUGUGUCUUUCUUAUGUAGGGAUAGAAUAAGCCUAAACCUUUCAUACCAUUAAGUAUUGAAAAAGGAGUUACUGCCAUUACAUUGGCGUUGCGUGGGCGCAUAGCUACACUUAGCUUUACAACUUUUC
rnacentral:lncRNA from 1 species